rnacentral:rRNA from 1 species
AUUGAACGCUGGCGGCAGGCCUAACACAUGCAAGUCGAGCGGAUGAAGUGAGCUUUCUCCUGGUUUCAGCUGCGGACUGUUGUGUAAUGCCUAGGAAUCUGCCUGUUUUUGUGUUAUAACGUCCUUAAACGGGCUCUAAUCCCGCAUACGUCCUUUUUUUGAUAUUUUUUGUUCUUCUGACCUCUCGCUUUCAUAUGUUCCUAGGUCGGAUUAGCUAUUUGGUUGGGUAAAGGCCUACCAAGGCGACGAUCCGUAACUGGUCUGAGAGGAUGAUCAGUCACACUGGAACUGAGACACGGACCAGACGCCUACGGGAGGCAGCAGUGGGGAAUAUUGGACAAUGGGCGAAAGCAUGAUACAGCAAUGCCGAGUGUGUGAAGAAGGUAUUAGGAUUGUAAAGCAAUUUAAGUUGGGAGGAAGGGAAGUAAGUUAAUACCUUGCUGUAUUGACGUUAACAAAAGAAUAAGCACCGGCUAACUACGUG